rnacentral:lncRNA from 1 species
AUUUUAACUAAACUCAGAUUAUUCACUCAGCCUAUAUAUAAUUAAAAUAUAUUAUAUUUAUAUAUUUUUUAAUAUAUAUAUAGUGUAGAACUACUAUGCUAUCGAAAAUAUAGAGGAUUUGAUGUUUUUGAAUUUUUGACCUUUUGGUUAAGAAUUAUAUGCAAAAUUAUAUGGUUGGGAUGAUUGCGGUCCCCCCUAGGAUUAAAUAAUACCCUUAGGAUUGAGUGGUCCCUACAAGGUAAUAAUAGUAUUAAUCCAAAGAUAAGAAAUGAUUAAAGGGGUUGAUCUAAGAAUCAAAAAAUCAAAAGCACCAGAUCUUCUAUACUUUCGAUAGCAUAGUAGUUCUACUAUAUAUAUAUAUAUAUAUUCGAGCUUUUCGAGCUUUUCGAGCGUAAUUCGAACAAGCCGAGUAAUACUCAAGCUCGGCUUGAAAUGAAUUUCGAGCCUUUUUUUUUAUUCAAGCUCGGCUCAUUUAAUUUCGAGUCGAGCUCAAGCGAGCCAAAUAUCGAGCCGAACGCAAGUCGAACGCG